rnacentral:rRNA from 4 species
UAGGGAAUCUUCCGCAAUGGACGAAAGUCUGACGGAGCAACGCCGCGUGAGCGAAGAAGGUCUUCGGAUCGUAAAGCUCUGUUGUUAGGGAAGAACAAGUACCGUUCGAAUAGGGCGGUACCGUGACGGUACCUAACCAGAAAGCCACGGCUAACUACGUGCCAGCAGCCGCGGUAAUACGUAGGUGGCAAGCGUUGUCCGGAAUUAUUGGGCGUAAAGCGCGCGCAGGCGGCUUCUUAAGUCUGAUGUGAAAGCCCGCAGCUCAACUGCGGAGGGUCAUUGGAAACUGGGAAGCUUGAGUGCAGAAGAGGAGAGUGGAAUUCCACGUGUAGCGGUGAAAUGCGUAGAGAUGUGGAGGAACACCAGUGGCGAAGGCGGCUCUCUGGUCUGUAACUGACGCUGAGGCGCGAAAGCGUGGGGAGCAAACAGG